rnacentral:rRNA from 1 species
CCUACGGGAGGCAGCAGUAGGGAAUAUUGCACAAUGGGGGAAACCCUGAAGCAGCAACGCCGCGUGGAGGAUGAAGGUUUUCGGAUUGUAAACUCCUUUUGUUAGAGAAGAUAAUGACGGUAUCUAACGAAUAAGCACCGGCUAAAUCCGUGCCAGCAGCCGCGGUAAUACGGAGGGGGCAAGCGUUACUCGGAUUCACUGGGCGUAAAGAGCGCGCAGGCGGGAUAGCAAGUCAGAUGUGAAAUCCUAUGGCUUAACCAUAGAACUGCAUUGGAAACUGUUAUUCUGGAGUAUGGGAGGGGGAGGUGGAAUUCUUGGUGUAGGGGUAAAAUCCGUAGAGAUCAAGAGGAAUACUCAUUGCGAAGGCGACCUGCUAGAACAUAACUGACGCUGAUGCGCGAAAGCGUGGGGAGCAAACAGGAUUAGAUACCCGAGUAGUC